rnacentral:rRNA from 1 species
UUGUACAGGCAAAUCCGUAUAACAAUACUCCGAGAACUGAAAGGCUUUUUGAAGUCUUCGGAUGGAUAGAAGAACCCCUGAUGCCGUCGAGCCAAGAAAAGUUUCUAAGUUUAGCUAAUGUUGCCCGUACCGUAAACCGACACAGGUGGGUGGGAUGAGUAUUCUAAGGCGCGUGGAAGAACUCUCUUUAAGGAACUCUGCAAAAUAGCACCGUAUCUUCGGUAUAAGGUGUGGUUAGCUUCGUACUAGGAUUUACUCCGAAAGCGAAGAAACUUACAACAAAGAGUCCCUCCCGACUGUUUACCAAAAACACAGCACUCUGCUAACUCGUAAGAGGAUGUAUAGGGUGUGACGCCUGCCCGGUGCUCGAAGGUUAAUUGAUGGGGUUAGCAUUAGCGAAGCUCUUGAUCGAAGCCCGAGUAAACGGCGGCCGUAACUAUAACGGUCCUAAGGUAGCGAAAUUCCUUGUCGGUUAAAUACCGACCUGCAUGAAUGGCGUAACGAGAUGGGAGCUGUCUCAAAGAGGGAUCCAGUGAAAUUGUAGUGGAGGUGAAAAUUCCUCCUACCCGCGGCAAGACGGAAAGACCCCGUGGACCUUUACUACAGCUUGACACUGCUACUUGGAUAAGAAUGUGCAGGAUAGGUGGGAGGCUUUGAGUAUAUGACGCCAGUUGUAUAUGAGCCAUUGUUGAGAUACCACUCUUUCUUAUUUGGGUAGCUAACCAGCUUGAGUUAUCCUCAAGUGGGACAAUGUCUGGUGGGUAGUUUGACUGGGGCGGUCGCCUCCCAAAUAAUAACGGAGGCUUACAAAGGUUGGCUCAGAACGGUUGGAAAUCGUUCGUAGAGUAUAAAGGUAUAAGCCAGCUUAACUGCAAGACAUACAAGUCAAGCAGAGACGAAAGUCGGUCUUAGUGAUCCGGUGGUUCUGUGUGGAAGGGCCAUCGCUCAAAGGAUAAAAGGUACCCCGGGGAUAACAGGCUGAUCUCCCCCAAGAGCUCACAUCGACGGGGAGGUUUGGCACCUCGAUGUCGGCUCAUCGCAUCCUGGGGCUGGAGCAGGUCCCAAGGGUAUGGCUGUUCGCCAUUUAAAGCGGUACGCGAGCUGGGUUCAGAACGUCGUGAGACAGUUCGGUCCCUAUCUGCCGUGGGCGUAAGAAGAUUGAAGAGAUUUGACCCUAGUACGAGAGGACCGGGUUGAACAAACCACUGGUGUAGCUGUUGUUCUGCCAAGAGCAUCGCAGCGUAGCUAAGUUUGGAAAGGAUAAACGCUGAAAGCAUCUAAGCGUGAAGCCAACUCUAAGAUGAAUCUUCUCUAAGCUCUCUAGAAGACUACUAGUUUGAUAGGCUGGGUGUGUAAUGGAUGAAAGUCCUUUAGCUGACCAGUACUAAUAGAGCGUUUGGCUUAUCUUUAAUAAAGCAU